CUCAUUACUGCCUUGCAGUUUGAUCUCAGACUGCUGUGCUAGCAAUCAGCGAGACUCCCUGGGCGUAGGACCCUCCGAGCCAGGUGUGGGAAAUAAUCUCCUGGUGCACCGUUUCCUAAGCCCGUCGGAAAAGCGCAGUAUUUGGGUGGGAGUGGCCCGAUUUUCCAGGUGCCCUCCUUUCCUUGACCAGGAAAGGGAACUCCCUGACCCCUUACGCUUCCCAAGUGAGGCAAUGCCUCGCCCUGCUUCGGCUGGCGCACGGUGCCCUGCACCCACUGUCUGGCACUCCCUAGUGAGAUGAACCCGGUACCUCAGAUGGAAAUGCAGAAAUCACCCAUCUUCUGCGUGGCUCAUGCUGGGAGCUGUAGACCAGAGCUGUUCCUAUUCAGCCAUCUUGGCUCCCGGAUCCAGUUUAACUUUUGCAGAGAGACAAGAUCUCUCUCCAUUGCCAACACUGGUCUCAAACUCCUGGCCUCAAGCAAUCAUCCAACCUCAGCCUUCUGAGUACCGGGAUUACAAGUGCGAGCCACUGUGCCCAGCUCCUGUUUCUACUUUCUUAAGAGAAGAAAACUGAGGCAUAGAACAUUUGGGAAUGAAUCUAAGACUACACAUCUAGAAUAGCAGAGUUACAGGAAUGCAGAUGUGAUUCCUAUGGAUGAGGGUAACCUAGAGGCUAGAAGAACAAUAGGACAGAAGAAGCCUGGGUCCCUGAACAACCUUGUGGAGCAUAGACACCUACGUGGCCUGGACUGCCAGCUCACAAUGGGCCUCUCUGUGAGAGAAGGAAACUUCCCUCUUGUUUAAGCAACUGUGCUUUUGAGAAUCUCUUGGUCUAUACCCUAAUGAAUAAGGCCAUCAUAAAUGGAUAUCAAAGUAAGGAAAUUUGUGUAAAUGAUUUAAUAAAACAUUACCUCAGGUAUGAAAUAAUUCUACCUUGUGCCUUGACAACAUCAGGUAUUAUUCAUGCCCUUUUCUCUCCCUGUAAUGUCUCUUAUCCACGGGUAGAAAUUAUAUUUUCCAUCUAAGGUUUGCUCAAAUAUUAUCUACUUAAGUAGCUCUUACCAAUUUUGCCUCUCCUCCUGAGCUGACCCUAUGCCUUCUAUGCUGUUCCAGGUAAUAUUAAUCUCUUCCUUUGUACUUCUUUCACAGAACAUACUUUUUUGUCUAACAUAAUAACUAUAGGCAUAAGUGUAUAGAUUCCACUAGGGGCUUCAGAACAGAAACUAUCAUCUUAUUAAUUUUUUUCUCCCUGAUAUCUAGGGAAAUAUGUUAUAUAUAAUAGGCCCUUAGUAAUCCCAUAAAUGUUUGUGAGAUAUUCACUGACUAUAAGCCAUACUCUGUAUUUAUUUAGCUAAAACAGACGUCUUUCAUAUUUAGUUAGCAGAAAAUGCUCACAUUUACUCCUUUCCUGUUUACCAAAUGAAAGGGUAAUUGUUUUUUCACAGAUUGCACUAGAAAAGUGUCUUCUCUCUCUUUUUCAAAUAGAUUGUCUUUAAAACAUAUGACAGGAAAAGUGACUAUUGUUAGGAUAAGAUAAUUACGAUUGUAACAGCUAGUUUAAAAGAAGUGUCAGUUGCUCCUGUUUUAUUUUUCACAGGAUAGAGCUGCGGCCUGUCUCAGUAUGAUGUUUUCAGGAUCUGGUAUAUAUUUUUAUUUUCCUACAUGAAUCUUUCAUCCUUUUACUGACAUUUAUUCAUUUUAUCUAAUUAUCCUAAAAGGAAAGCUCUGGCCAGGCAAAUUGGUUGUUGUCUGCCUCUGAAGAGACAUUCAUAUCGCGUCGCUUAGCUUUCAAGUUUUGUGAUCAGGAACCCUCAGGCCCAUUUUUAAGGAGGUUUCAGGCUAGCUGAGCUUCACUGUCUCCCAAAAUGUACAAAAUGAGAUUACAUGAGGGACAAGAUCAAUUUACUGGAAGGUACUUAAGCAGUAAAUCUGGAGCUUUUUGUCCAGUCACUAUUGCUUUCAAGCUUUGUAGCAGAAAAUUAAGCCACAAGAGCUUUGACAAAUUAGAUAUUACUACCUCUAAUUGUGUAUGUUUAAGCUUAUCACACUGAAUUGCAGCAUUGUAACUGACUAUUAUGCCAACAAGGCCUUCGUUUAAUCAGCGCAGUGCCAUUUAAUCGCAAUUAAUCACUCAACUAAAAUGUCAUAUUAAGGUCACAGAAACUUGAAGGGCUAAAAGAAAAGAGAACAUUAAAGUCAGCUGAUGGAGGAAAAGAGCAUGGUGUGCCAAGGGAAGUUCUGAGCACUCUUUUUCAUUAGAAGCUGGUAGAACAUUUAAUGAGAAUUCAGUCUUAACUUUCAGCUGAGAUCAGAACAACGUGCC
rnacentral:lncRNA from 1 species